UUCGGUGGUUUUGGCGAGAGGGAAACACCCGGUCCCAUCCCGAACCCGGAAGUUAAGCCUCUCAGCGCCGAUGGUACUGCAUGGGGGACUGUGUGGGAGAGUAGGACGCCGCCGGAC
rnacentral:rRNA from 1 species